rnacentral:lncRNA from 1 species
GAACAGGUGAAAAAUUACAAACCCAAUCAGGUUGUGAUCGGGUCGGGUAAAUCCAACCCGUUUCGAAUACCCGAUCGAGUCGCACCAAAAAAAAAAAAACCUCACUAAACCUAAACACAUUACACAUGCACACACCAGACACCACACACACGGGCACACACAAAGUCACAACUAAAAAACAAUUGGCUAAAAAAAACAAUUGACAAAUAAAAAACAAAAUCAAAUUAUAACCCACGCACACAGCCACACACAAACAUAUCUCACUGCCUUCACAGAUCACAACCUCACAGCCCUCAUCAUCACACUCACGACUUCACACACACACACACAUCGCAAAAGCCAAAAGUAAAGCGACAGCCGAUAGCAAAAGCAGAAAAGAGAACGGAGGAACUGCAGCCAGUGCACGCAGCCACCUAACCCGUGACCGGAUCUACUGCUCCGCAACAUCCGUAGCUACCAGAUCUACUAUUGCCGGAUAUCUACUGGAUUUGCUGCUGCUGGAUCUGCUGUUGCAGCCUCCACCAUCACCAAGUUCCACCGCGAACCAGCAACUCAAAUUCUUUUCUUUUUUGAUGUUUUGAUGGUAUAUAAUAAUAUAUUAUAUAUUAUCUGUUAAUUGCUAAGUAUAUGUAUUGUUAAAUGUUAAUAAUAAAAUGAGGGAAAUUCUUGUAUGGAAAAUUUUGGAGCUUAAUUUAUUAAGUCCGUGGAAGCUUAAAUUAUAAGUAUGAAUUGAGUUU